rnacentral:telomerase_RNA from 1 species
GGCAUUAGGUGGCCCUGCGGAGCUGCCGUUAGGUACGCCGGCAUGCUGCCUGCUAACCCUAAAUUAAGGCUCUGCCUCGCGCACAUGAUGCGCGGCAACUUUCACAGGGAUUUGCCUGUCCCUUACCCUACCUGCUGCAAUUAGCGCAGGACAACAAGGGGCUACGCUCCGCAGGGCCCCUAACUUUCCUGGUUACAUGCGUGCACGAGGUGUGGUCUAUCUGCAAGUGAUGGGCGCUUGUGGCGUCGGUCACCUGAAUGGUUUGGCCAUGUGCAGAGACCCGAAGCCUGUACACGUACGCCGUGUGGGUGCUGCAUUUUG